rnacentral:rRNA from 1 species
GACGGAGGAUGCAAGCGUUAUCCGGAGUGAUUGGGCGUAAAGCGUCCGCAGGUGGCAGUUCAAGUCUGCUGUCAAAGACCGGGGCUUAACUUCGGAAAGGCAGUGGAAACUGAACAGCUAGAGUAUGGUAGGGGCAGAGGGAAUUCCUGGUGUAGCGGUGAAAUGCGUAGAUAUCAGGAAGAACAUCGGUGGCGAAGGCGCUCUGCUGGACCAUAACUGACACUCAGGGACGAAAGCUAGGGGAGCGAAUGGG